rnacentral:lncRNA from 1 species
UGGAAAUUGGACCCGGGUGCGACCGCGGACUGAGGAGAAGGAGCUCCGGCGAGAGUAGCGGGUGGCGGUACGUCGGCAGGCUGCGUCCUUCGGGGGACCUGCAAAAAGCCGGUGGUCGGGGUUUCCGGCGCCGGCCCUCCGAUGCUUAAGUCAGAGAAGGGUUUAAUUUUGGAGAAGGAGAGGGACUGUAUAUAGAAGUCCGAAGCUCCCUUUUUAGAGGGAAAAGCUCCCCUUUUUAUAGGAGGGGUGCCAGGUUACCUGAGAUGUGACUGGGCGAAUUAAUGAAUUAUCGUCAUGAUUGGGUGUGGUCGUGCGCACUAAUGAGCUGGCGUGGGCAGCUGAACAAGACGGAGUGGCGCAUUAAUGAGUUGCCGUGGAUGGCCUGAGACUUUGGGCUGGCUGGAGGUCCGUGGAGAUCGUGCUCAAUUUAAUUGUUGACAGUUGUAGCAGGAUAUGGUCCCUGGUUGGUAUGCCGUGGCGUGGCCGGCAAGCAAAGCAUGGUGCGGUGAGACUGCUGCAGGGCGUGGCCGCAGCAUGUGGACAUGAGCUCGGCCUGCAUGAGCUCGGUCUUCUGGGCUCGGCCUGAAUGAGCUCGGUUUGCAUGAGCUUGGCCUGCAUGAGCUCGGUCUUCUGAGAUUGGCUCGGCCUGCAUGAGCUCGGUCUUCUGGGCUCGGCCUGCAUGAGCUCGGCCUUCUGAGCUCGGACGUCGGAUUCGGGUGUUCUGAUUAUAUUUGUGGGGUGGUUUAUUUUUCUCUAACACUACCCCCGACUUUCGAGUUCGAGCUGCUUUUUGGCUCGAGCGAAUGAAGUAGUCUAGUCGUCGAUCAUCCUGUAAUAUAGCCAAAUGUCUAUU